rnacentral:sRNA from 1 species
UAGAUAAUACUGAAAAGGCUGGAGGACCAGAAAGAGCUGAGACUUCCUUUGUUGAGUUCAGGUCCCUAUUGUCGGAGUGUGGGCUCUUUGAUCUAAAGCAUUCAGGCAAUUUCCUGUCUUGGAGAGGAGUGAGGCAUUUCCACUUAGUGCAUUGUACACUGGAUAGAGCAUUGGCUAACACUGCUUGCUUUGAUCUCUUCUCUCGAGGGCGCAGUGAAUAUAUGAAGUUUGAAGGGACUGACCAUAGACCUGUCCUAUCUGAUAAUAACUUUUUAAGAUCAAUUAAUCCUAAAGCACUAUCAUGUCGUUGUAGUACUGAAGGUUGUCAAUCCAAAUGGGUGUGAUGCUAGCAAUCAAGAUGCAAUCAGAGUUCACAGAGUCAAGCCAAGCAAUAACAGGUUUUGGGGUGUUCUAGCAGUCCUAAGUGAAUAUGGAGGAAACAGAAAAUCAAGCAGAAACAAUAAAACACUCGACCAACACAACUCGUUUCAGAGCACUGGGUGGGGUCGAGUGACUGGUCAAGUAACAGACAGAAAAUGUAACAGGGAUACUCGACUACAAAGACAACUAGGUGGUCGAGUAUUAGGUCGAGUAACACGCAAAAAUUGCAAAAACUAAGUAACGGUCACAAGAUGCAGUAAACAGUAGUAGAGUAAACAAAGAAAUCAAUUAGUUAAAGAAUUCCCGAGGAUGGGGUAAUUGAGUAGUUUUGUUUCCUCAGUUUACAGGUGAUUGACAUGCUCAAUAAAUUAUCCCUAGAUAACAAGUUCGGUAACCAAAUCUAAGUGCCACCGCAACAGAGACCCUCAAGUUAAACUAGUCCCAAACUCAAUCAGCAUUCACGAGAGCUAACCUAACAGGCAUUACGAAUCAACAAGUUAAAGCCAAAACGCUCCCUGCAACCAAUACAUGGGUACAGAGCCACAAAUUUCUGGAAUUAU